rnacentral:misc_RNA from 1 species
CUAUACCCUCGGUCGUCCGACGAGCCUCGUGCUCGCCGGCGCCGAAGGACCCGCGGUCUAAUCCUGUGUCAGUAAGGCACGCGUUCCGUGCCCGAACCUCAGCUCACAUAGCGAAAAAGUUCGUGAGAAGCGGCUUCACGGCCGCCGGGAUUAGAUGUCUGCACCCUCUGUUUACGUGUACCUUUGUUGUUUCCUCGGCAGGUCCGCCUGCCGCCAGGAACCCCAUAAACCCUUUUUGCAAUAGCAUCAAAACUUCUGAUAACAAACCUAAAUCGUUUA